rnacentral:rRNA from 1 species
UACGAAGGGGGCUAGCGUUGUUCGGAAUUACUGGGCGUAAAGCGCACGUAGGCGGAUCGAUCAGUCAGGGUGAAAUCCCAGGGCUCAACCCUGGAACUGCCUUUGAUACUGUCGAUCUGGAGUAUGGAAGAGGUGAGUGGAAUUCCGAGUGUAGAGGUGAAAUUCGUAGAUAUUCGGAGGAACACCAGUGGCGAAGGCGGCUCACUGGUCCAUUACUGACGCUGAGGUGCGAAAGCGUGGGAGCAACAGGG